UGUUGCUGUGUAGUUUACAUAGACAGAAAGAUUUCUUUUGAAACAAAUAGAAUCUUCAUCUAAAUAUGAUUUAGACUUUUCAAAACAUUCAUCAUGGAUUAAAAUUCUAGAUCUACAAUGGUGAACAAAUGUCUCGUUUUGUAAAGGAUCUAGAUCUAGCACUACUAGCAGAUAUGCUUUCCGAUUACCAAAAGAUGAUGAAUGGUGGCUUAGAAAGAAAAAAUGGCCAGCGGUAAUACCUUUGGCUUAGACGGCUUAGUAGAAGGAUUAGAUCUACGUAGGCCUACCAUUAAAGGAGUACUCUAAAACCUGCCAUUAACAUUUUCAAGACGAAGUAUCAUGGACAGUAUUGAAGGAUUACGUACUAUAAAGGAAUACUCUAAAAUCUGCCGUUACCAUUUUGAAGACGAUGAAGUCUUGUGGACUAGCUACUACACAUGAAAGAGUAGAGAGUGCAUUAAAAAAAAGUGUAAAGUCUCAGGAAGUCGCAGGAUGGCUGCCUGGUCUUGUGGUUUGCGCGCUGGA
rnacentral:sRNA from 1 species